GGGAGGUAGUGACAAUAAAUAACAAUACGGGGUUCUAUAGGAUUUCGUAAUUGGAAUGAGUACAAUUUAAAUCUCUUAACGAUCAACAAUUGGAGGGCAAGUCUGGUGCCAGCAGCCGCGGUAAUUCCAGCUCCAAUAGCGUAUAUUAAAGUUGCUGCAGUUAAAAAGCUCGUAGUUGAAUUUCGGGACCAUCACGUCGGUCGUGCCUCGGUACGUACUGGCAUCGUCGGUUUCUCCCUUCUGACGAACCAUGAUGUCAUUUAUUUGGUGUCGUGGGGAAUCAGGACUGUUACUUUGAAAAAAUUAGAGUGUUUAAAGCAGGCUCACGCUUGAAUACAUUAGCAUGGAAUAAUGAAAUAGGACGUUUGAUUCUAUUUUGUUGGUUUCUAGGAUCGACGUAAUGAUUAAUAGGGAUAGUUGGG
rnacentral:rRNA from 1 species